GUUCACGCCAUUCUCCUGCCUCAGCCUCACAAGUAGCUGGGACUACAGGCGCCUGCCACCAUGCCCGGCUAAUUUUUUGUAUUUUUAGUAGAGAUGGGGUUUCACUGUGUUAGCCAGGAUGGUCUCAAUCUCCUGACCUCGUGAUCUGCCCCUGCCCGCCUUGGCCUCCCGAAGUGCUAGGAUUACAGGCAUGUCACCGCGCCCAGCCGAGUGACUC
rnacentral:lncRNA from 10 species